UACGUAGGUGACAAGCGUUGUCCGGAUUUACUGGGCGUAAAGAGCGCGCAGGCGGUCGUUCAAGUCGAGUGUGAAAGCCCCCGGCUCAACUGGGGAGGGUCAUUCGAUACUGAUCGACUCGAAGGCAGGAGAGGGAAGUGGAAUUCCCGGUGUAGUGGUGAAAUGCGUAGAUAUCGGGAGGAACACCAGUGGCGAAGGCGGCUCGCUGGGCCAUUCCUGACGCUGAGACGCGAAAGCUAGGGGAGCGAACAGG
rnacentral:rRNA from 1 species